rnacentral:rRNA from 1 species
AAUACAUUCAAUAAGCGGAGGAAAAGAAACUAACAAGGAUUCCCCUAGUAACUGCGAGUGAAGCGGGAAAAGCUCAAAUUUUGAAUCUGGCAGUCUUUGCAGGCCGUCCGAGUUGUAAUCUAGAGAAGCGUCUUCCGCGCCGGCCUGUGUACAAGUCUCCUGGAAGGGAGCGUCAUAGAGGGUGAGAAUCCCGUCUCUGACACGGACCACCGGUGCUAUGUGAUGCGCUCUCGACGAGUCGAGUUGUUUGGGAAUGCAGCUCAAAAAGGGUGGUAAACUCCAUCUAAAGCUAAAUAUUGGCGAGAGACCGAUAGCGAACAAGUACCGUGAGGGAAAGAUGAAAAGGACUCUGGAAAGAGAGUUAAACAGUACGUGAAAUUGCUGAAAGGGAAACGCUCGAUGUCAGUCGCGUCGGCUGGGGGUCAACCUUGCGGUUUCGCUGGGUGUAUUUCCUGGUCGACGGGUCAGCAUCAGUUUCGGUCGUCGUACAAGGGCCAAGGGAAAGUGGCACCCUUCCGGGGGUGUGUUAUAGCCUUUCGGUCGUAUGUGGCGGCUCGGGACUGAGGAGACUCGGUGUGGGCUUCGGCUUACACUAGAGAUGCUGGCAUAAUGGCCUUGAGCGACCCGUCUUGAAACACGGACCAAGGAGUCUAACAUGUCUGCGAGUGUUUGGGUGGCAAACCCGAUCGCGAAAUGAAAGUGAAAGUCGAGAUCUCCAUCCACGGAGUGCACCGACGCCCGGAUCCAUCGUCUUUGACAAUGGAUCUGCGGUAGAGCAUGCAUGUUGGGACCCGAAAGAUGGUGAACUAUGCCUGAAUAGGGUGAAGCCAGAGGAAACUCUGGUGGAGGCUCGUAGCGAUUCUGACGUGCAAAUCGAUCGUCGAAUUGGGUAUAGGGGGCGAAAGACUAAUCGAACCACUAGUA